ensembl:ncRNA C54A12.5 ncRNA
CGAGAGCGAACAAAAAACAACAAAUUGCUGUGGUUAAAAGUCAAAACGGUUAAAAAGAGGUGAUGAGGUAGGAUGCAAGUGUCCCUCCACCGAGAGUAAUUUUGUGGAAAGUGAGGUAACAGAAAAAUGAAGGAACUGGUUUUCA